UACGAAGGGGGCCAGCGUUGCUCGGAAUUACUGGGCGUAAAGCGCGUGUAGGCGGGCUGAUAAGUCGGACGUGAAAUCCCUGGGCUCAACCCAGGAACUGCAUCCGAAACUGUCAGUCUGGAGUGGUGGAGAGGGAAGCAGAAUUCCUGGUGUAGAGGUGAAAUUCGUAGAUAUCAGGAGGAACACCGGUGGCGAAGGCGGCUUCCUGGACACUAACUGACGCUGAGGCGCGAAAGCGUGGGGAGCAAACAGG
rnacentral:rRNA from 1 species